UCCUCCAUAGCUCAGUUGGUUAGAGCACCUGACUGUUAAUCAGGGUGUCGCUGGUUCAAGUCCAGCUGGAGGAGCUA
rnacentral:tRNA from 1 species